rnacentral:rRNA from 1 species
UAGGGAAUCUUCGGCAAUGGGGGGAACCCUGACCGAGCAACGCCGCGUGAGUGAAGAAGGUUUUCGGAUCGUAAAGCUCUGUUGUUAAGGAAGAACGAGUGUGAGAAUGGAAAGUUCAUGCUGUGACGGUACUUAACCAGAAAGGGACGGCUAACUACGUGCCAGCAGCCGCGGUAAUACGUAGGUCCCGAGCGUUGUCCGGAUUUAUUGGGCGUAAAGCGAGCGCAGGCGGUUAGAAAAGUCUGAAGUGAAAGGCAGUGGCUCAACCAUUGUAGGCUUUGGAAACUGUUUAACUUGAGUGCAGAAGAGGAAAGUGGAAUUCCAUGUGUAGCGGUGAAAUGCGCAGAGAUAUGGAGGAACACCAGUGGCGAAGGCGACUUUCUGGUCUGUAACUGACGCUGAGGCUCGAAAGCGUGGGGAGCGAACAGG